AGCCUGACUACCGGGGGAUAAAAGACCGGAAGAAGCGAGCCGACGCCAGUGGCGUUUUGGUCUUUUCCUUCUCUGAGGGCGUGGGGUGCAGCAGACGUGUGGGUACAGAGUCUGUAACAAGGGCAUUUCUUCAAGGACCAUGAGCUGAAGUGCGGACGGGGUCACACGCUGAGCUGAUCUGGGAUCAGAAGGUUCGUCGGGGCGGUGAAUCUAAAUUCCUAGAGUCCUCUGAGUGCAAGGCCAUGGCUCGGAAAAGCACAACAGACCACGACAAUAACCUACUUUAUGGAGGAGACCUAGGCUCUGAGUUAUUCCUGAGCCAACUCCAGGAUGGUUUUUCUUCGGUUCCCUAUUUUUUAAAUACUGACCAAAAAAUGAAAAUUAAAAAGACUCUCUACUCUGUGAGCCAAGCACUGCUCUAAGGGCAUAUCACUGAACAAAGCCAUCAAUUCCUGACUCCAUCGAAUGUAUUUGUUGGUUUGCAGUCACCGAGGGAGCUUCCCAGGUGAAAUCGGAAACCAGCCCAUGCGUUCAGAAGGCAGGGAAAGAUGAGAAGAGAGGCCAGCCACCCUGGGCUGGUAGGUGGCAGGUUUAGUGAGCAAAGGGAACUUGCACACAAGGCUUGUCUUGGGUGGCAGCAAGACAAAUGGAUCCUUGCAACUACUUGCCACAUCUUCAAGUUUAUAAGGGGCCUUACCUGGGCUUGGUGACGUCUGCCAUGCGGGUCUUUUCAAAACCACAACACCGUCUCAAGGCUGUGUCCUCGGAGCAGCCUCUGGGAGUGGGAAGACAAACAGAACCCACAUUCCAAGCACGAGGGAAGGAGGUGAGGAGCCUCUGAUUGUGCCGGGGCCAGCUCACGGGCGACGGCGGUCACAUCUCGUUGAUGACUUUCCCCGACACUCCACUCCUCGUGAUGAGUUCUUACAAUCUCGCAAGCCCCACUCUUUUGCAAUGGACGCUGAGUGGUCAGCAAGGGAUCUCACUAGCGUGGGGUGGCUCCUGUGGCAGUUAUCUGGUGCACUGGAGGCAGAUGACACAGCAACAAUACAGGUACAUGCAAGGGAAGUCACAGAUGUACACGAUGACUCCCCCAAAUCAGUGACAAAUUUUUCUACAGGAGUCUAUAAGCUGAAUCCCUGAUUUACCAAGUCCCCUAAGCUGGAAGUCGGAUCAUUCAGGGUGUUCACUUGUGUCAUAUGAUUUAGUAAAGAUGACACCUUCGGGGCGCCUAGGUGGUCAGUCGGUUAAGCAUCCAACUUCAUUCAGCUCGGGUCAUGAUCUCGCAGUUCGUGAGUUUGAUCCCCGUGUCGGGCUGUGUGCUGACAGCUCGGAGCCUGGAGCCUGCUUCAGGUUCUGUGUCUCCCUCUCUCUCUGCUCCACCCCUGCUCCUACUCUCUCUCUCGAAAAUAAACAUUAAAAAAAAUAAAGAUGACACCUUAGCAGACUCAUCAGGUAUGAACACACAACAUUCUGCCCGAAUAAUGUAGUCAUUUCAGUGUUCGGUAAGGACAGGCUUUGUUGGCUAUUAUUUAAGACUUGACAGAUCACUUUAAUAAGGGAUUCUCUA